rnacentral:misc_RNA from 1 species
CAACCCUCGAGCCCCCCGUGGCCCGGCGUUGGGGAUCUGCCACGGCAGGCCCCGAAAUCCAGUGGCGGACCCGCUGGGCCCUCUCCUUGCGUAGUAGCAUCAGCCUCGCAUCGGGAGCCCGCGUGGCAUCCCGCCCCUAAACCCCCCACAAGCCCGCUCCGGCGGCACCAA